rnacentral:lncRNA from 1 species
GUGAAGCAUAUUGGUCAAGUAGCUUCUUCAAUCUUGAUUAUUUUUCACUGUGAAUCAACAUGAGAAUUUAUAAGUGUUAUAAAAAUUUUAAUUGCUAAUCUAUUCUAUCUUUCUGGCAUCCAAUGUAAUUGGAUGAAAUUUUUCUUCAUAUAAAGGGGGGCAGGAUAUCUUUCGUAAGGUAAGUCUGAACAGAUAGAGCUAAGACUCUGCUGAAUCAUUUUCAGCUCUCCCAUUGAAGGGAACAAAAGUUCUCUCUCUAUUUAGCCCACGAUCUUUUUUCUCAUCCUUUUAUUCUCCUAUUUUCACUACCUAUUCACAAGGCUUCAUCUGACUUAAUCAUUAGAUGGUCUUGA